AACGUAGGACGCAAGCGUUAUCCGGAGUUACUGGGCGUAAAGCGCGGGCAGGCGGUUCUGCCAGUCUGAUGUGAAAUCUCCUCGCUCAACGGGGAGCAGCCAUUGGAAACUACAGAACUGGAGUCUGACAGAGGUAGGCGGAAUUCCGGGUGGAGUGGUGAAAUGCGUAGAGAUCCGGAGGAACACCAGAGGCGAAGGCGGCCUACUGGGUCAGUACUGACGCUGAGCCGCGAAAGCGUGGGGAGCGAACAGG
rnacentral:rRNA from 1 species